rnacentral:rRNA from 1 species
UACAGAGGUCCCAAGCGUUGUUCGGAUUCACUGGGCGUAAAGGGUGCGUAGGUGGUUGGGUAAGUCUGAUGUGAAAUCUCCGAGCCUAACUCGGAAACUGCAUCGGAUACUAUUCGGCUAGAGGGUUGGAGGGGGGACUGGAAUUCUCGGUGUAGCAGUGAAAUGCGUAGAUAUCGAGAGGAACACCAGUGGCGAAGGCGAGUCCCUGGACAACUCCUGACACUGAGGCACGAAAGCGUGGGGAGCAAACAGG